AUUGAACGCUGGCGGAAUGCUUUACACAUGCAAGUCGAACGGCAGCACGGACUUCGGUCUGGUGGCGAGUGGCGAACGGGUGAGUAAUGUAUCGGAACGUGCCCAGUCGUGGGGGAUAACGUAGGGAAACUUACGCUAAUACCGCAUACGCUCUAUGGAUGAAAGCGGGGGAUCCGAAGACCUCGCGCGAUUGGAGUGGCCGAUAUCAGAUUAGGUAGUGGGUGGGGUAAAGGCCCACCAAGCCAACGAUCUGUAGCUGGUCUGAGAGGACGACCAGCCACACUGGAACUGAGACACGGUCCAGACUCCUACGGGAGGCAGCAGUGGGGAAUUUUGGACAAUGGGCGAAAGCCUGAUCCAGCCAUUCCGCGUGCAGGAUGAAGGCCCUCGGGUUGUAAACUGCUUUUGUACAGAACGAAAAGGUUUCUACUAAUACUAGGAGCUCAUGACGGUACUGUAAGAAUAAGCACCGGCUAACUACGUGCCAGCCGCCGCCGUAA
rnacentral:rRNA from 1 species